rnacentral:rRNA from 1 species
GGCCUAACACAUGCAAGUCGAGCGGAAACGACACUUAACAAUCCUUCGGGUGCGUUAAUGGGCGUCGAGCGGCGGACGGGUGAGUAAUGCCUAGGAAAUUGCCUUGAUGUGGGGGAUAACCAUUGGAAACGAUGGCUAAUACCGCAUGAUGCCUACGGGCCAAAGAGGGGGACCUUCGGGCCUCUCGCGUCAAGAUAUGCCUAGGUGGGAUUAGCUAGUUGGUGAGGUAAUGGCUCACCAAGGCGACGAUCCCUAGCUGGUCUGAGAGGAUGAUCAGCCACACUGGAACUGAGACACGGUCCAGACUCCUACGGGAGGCAGCAGUGGGGAAUAUUGCACAAUGGGCGAAAGCCUGAUGCAGCCAUGCCGCGUGUAUGAAGAAGGCCUUCGGGUUGUAAAGUACUUUCAGUUGUGAGGAAGGGUGUGUAGUUAAUAGCUGCGCAUCUUGACGUUAGCAACAGAAGAAGCACCCGGCUAACUCCGUGCCAGCAGCCCGCGGUAAUACGGAGGGUGCGAGCGUUAAUCGGAAUUACUGGGCGUAAAGCGCAUGCAGGUGGUUCAUUAAGUCAGAUGUGAAAGCCCG